GAAGGCUGCGUACUGGAGCUUUUCUGAACCUUCCUUCAUGCGCGCGUCCACUUUGACACUGCCUCUUGGGAUGAAUUUACUCAAGUGACCUAAACAUAG
rnacentral:lncRNA from 1 species